UGGAGCCGUAGCGAAAGCGAGUCUGAAUAGGGCGUUUAGUAUUUGGUCGUAGACCCGAAACCAGGUGAUCUACCCUUGGUCAGGUUGAAGUUCAGGUAACACUGAAUGGAGGACCGAACCGACUUACGUUGAAAAGUGAGCGGAUGAACUGAGGGUAGCGGAGAAAUUCCAAUCGAACCUGGAGAUAGCUGGUUCUCUCCGAAAUAGCUUUAGGGCUAGCCUCAAGUGAUGAUUAUUGGAGGUAGAGCACUGUUUGGACGAGGGGCCCCUCUCGGGUUACCGAA
rnacentral:rRNA from 1 species